rnacentral:rRNA from 1 species
AUUGAACGCUGGCGGCAUGCCUAACACAUGCAAGUCGAACGGUAACAGGCCCUUCGGGUGCCGACGAGUGGCGGAUGGGUGAGUAAUACUUAGGAAUCUACCCUGUAGUGGGGGACAACCCGGGGAAACGUCGGGCUAAUACCGCAUACGCUCUACGGAGGAAAGCGGGGACCGGCAAGGCCUCGCGCUAUUGGAUGAGCCUAAGCCCGAUUAGCUAGUUGGUGGGGUAAUAGCCUACCAAGGCAANGAUCGGUAGCUGGUCUGAGAGGACG